ACGUGCGGAAGGAUCAUUGUCGAAA
rnacentral:rRNA from 1 species